UCACAGUUUGCACUGGCAGUCUUGCUAGAGUUCCCGACAUGACUCGCUGGCAACUAACAACAGGUGUUGCGCUCGUUAUAGGACUUAACCCAACAUCUCACGACACGAGCUGACGACAGCCAUGCAGCACCUGUGUUCCCGCCAGCCGAACUGAAGGGUUCCAUCUCUGGAGCCCAUACGGGACAUGUCAAGGGCCGGUAAGGUUCUGCGCGUUGCUUCGAAUUGAACCACAUGCUCCACCGCUUGUGCGGGCCCCCGUCAAUUCAUUUGAGUUUUAACCUUGCGGCCGUACUCCCCAGGCGGUCAACUUAAUGCGUUAGCUGCGCCACUAAGAGCUCAAGGCUCCCAACGGCUAGUUGACAUCGUUUACAGCGUGGACUAC
rnacentral:misc_RNA from 1 species